rnacentral:rRNA from 1 species
UACAGAGGUCCCAAGCGUUGUUCGGAUUCAUUGGGCGUAAAGGGUGUGUAGGUGGCGCCGUAAGUCGGGUGUGAAAUCUCGGAGCUUAACUCCGAAACUGCAUUCGAUACUGCCGUGCUUGAGGACUGGAGAGGAGACUGGAAUUUACGGUGUAGCGGUGAAAUGCGUAGAUAUCGUAAGGAAGACCAGUGGCGAAGGCGGGUCUCUGGACAGUUCCUGACGCUGAGGCACGAAGGUCAGGGGAGCAAACAGG